UAAAAAUCUGGGCAGAGAACGAUAUAAGAAAGAAAGAAAUCAGUGCUGCAAAGCUCUUGUAAAAGGUGAUUUCUCCUUUCACUCCAUGACUGAGCAAAAUGAGGCACAAAAAGGUACAGACUAGCUGAAAUACAGACAGCAAGUGAGUGACAGAUACAGGACUGGAAGAUCCAAGAGAGUCUGAAACAAUGUACACUGCGCGUCAGUCCCAACGCCAGCUUGUUCCAGCUCUUCCUGAGUGCUAGGCCCAUCUAGCCUCACGCAGAUCUCUAGACGGACCCCGUAGCGCAACUGGCACAAACCAGGACCACAGCCCUGCGGCAAGGCAGGAGUGUCCUCCUCCAGCAGAGUUAAGCCAAGAAGAUUUUCAAGUUCAGAUUGGAAGAGACGGAGGCAGAGGUGGAGGCGGGGGCAAAAGAGAAUUCGGAGGAGGAGGUGAGGAGGAGGAAAGGGGAGGAGGGAAGGGGGAGGGGAAGAAGAGGGGAAGGAAAAUGUUGGAGGAGGAGGGGGAAAGAAACAGGAGGAGGAGGAGGAGAAGGGGGAGGAGAACCAGGAGGAGGGG
rnacentral:lncRNA from 1 species